rnacentral:rRNA from 1 species
UACGUAGGUGGCGAGCGUUGUCCGGAUUUACUGGGCGUAAAGGGCGUGCAGGCGGCCUGUUAAGUCUAGGGUGAAAGCUCCCGGCUCAACUGGGAGAGGUCCUUGGAUACUGGCGGGCUCGAGGGAGGCAGAGGAGAAUGGAAUUCCCGGUGUAGUGGUGAUAUGCGUAGAUAUCGGGAGGAACACCAGUGGCGAAGGCGGUUCACUGGCCCGAUACUGACGCUGAGGCACGAAAGCGUGGGGAGCAAACAGG